AAUAAGCUAUUUAAGAGCGUAUGGGGGAUGCCUAGGCUCUCAGAGGCGAAGAAGGACGUGAUAAGCUGCGAUAAG
rnacentral:rRNA from 1 species